GGUUUCAUAGUGUAGUGGUUAGCACCCCUGCCUCGGAAGCAGCAAGUCUUGGGUUCGAUUCCCAGAGGAACCA